rnacentral:rRNA from 1 species
CCUACGGGAGGCAGCAGUGGGGAAUUUUGGACAAUGGACGCAAGUCUGAUCCAGCCAUGCCGCGUGUGGGAAGAAGGCCUUCGGGUUGUAAACCACUUUUGUCAGGGAAGAAACGGCUCGGGUUAAUACCUUGGGCUAAUGACGGUACCUGAAGAAUAAGCACCGGCUAACUACGUGCCAGCAGCCGCGGUAAUACGUAGGGUGCAAGCGUUAAUCGGAAUUACUGGGCGUAAAGCGUGCGCAGGCGGUUAUGCAAGACAGAUGUGAAAUCCCCGGGCUCAACCUGGGAACUGCAUUUGUGACUGCAUGGCUAGAGUACGGUAGAGGGGGAUGGAAUUCCGCGUGUAGCAGUGAAAUGCGUAGAUAUGCGGAGGAACACCGAUGGCGAAGGCAAUCCCCUGGACCUGUACUGACGCUCAUGCACGAAAGCGUGGGGAGCAAACAGGAUUAGAUACCCUGGUAGUCCACGCCCUAAACGAUGUCAACUGGUUGUUGGGAGGGUUUCUUCUCAGUAACGUAGCUAACGCGUGAAGUUGACCGCCUGGGGAGUACGGCCGCAAGGUUGAAACUUCAAAUGAAUUGAGNGNGNGAGNGCGAGACGACGACGAGGAGGAGG